UACCAGCUCCUCGAGUGGUCGGGGCGAUUAUUGGGCCUAAAGCAUCCGUAGCCUGUUCUGUAGGUCCUCUGUUAAAUCCAACGGCUUACCCGUUGGCCCGCAGAGGAUACCGUAGGACUAGGAGGCGGGAGAGGUGGACGGUACUCCACGUGUAGGGGUAAAAUCCUUUGAUCCGUGGAAGACAAACAGUGGCGAAGGCGGUCCACCAGAACGCGCUCGACGGUGAGGGAUGAAAGCUGGGGGAGCGAACCGG
rnacentral:rRNA from 1 species